rnacentral:lncRNA from 1 species
AUGGAUGGCGUCGACCGGGAGAGGCGCAGGUCGCGUGUCGUCGCCGCGCAGCGCACGGUCGGUCCUGGGCAUUUCGUCGCGGUAGGGGGCGCGGCAUCUCAGGGGCGAGAUGAGAUCUUUAUGGGUGGCAGUGGCGGUACGGCCCCGGAGCACGUGAUUGCGGAGAGCGGAGAGGAACACUCGCGGUCUCGCACCGGCCAGAUUGUUGUUUGCUUGGGUUGGGUACUUGCGUUGCGUACCACCAGGGCGCAGAAAACAAAUGGGACAAGAUCGCUAGCAUACCCGGAUGAAGGCGGCUACAGCCUACCGUAUGUGAGAUCGCACUCUGCUUAUGAUUUUUUGUGUGGCGUACUUCCCUUUUAUUUUUUAUAUCUAGCAGAUAGUUAUACUCUAUUCUCUCCAAAAUAUAGCUCUUGUUUCAAAAGAGAGCACUCUCUCUAACUUGGAAUGU